UUGGGAGCUUAGCCGAGCUGUGAUGGAGGGAAGUGUGCCUCUAGCAUCCUCCUUUUGAACCCUUUUCUAGGGAGUCCUCACUUGUCUUUCUGUUCCCAACUCAUUUAAACUCAUGGUGCCCACUUCCCUUAUGGUUCUGCCAAUGCCUUUUUGGGGACUGUUUCUCCAUUCAUAGAAUGACAGAAUAAACCAGCAAAUUUACAAAGCCUCUUACCAAUGUAAAAAGAGAUGAUUCUGAUUUCAUACUUUUGUUUCCAUUUAUACACUAAUGUGGAAGUGUGGAGUACGGGACAAGCUAAUUCUCUUCAGCAAGAAGGAAAGCAAAGACCACGGACUCGUAAGGAGAGAAAGCACAUCUUGUACAGAAUCAGCAGUUCUCAACCAUGGUUGAAGUCGUAGUCAGAAUCAAGAUCAUGCAUGCAGGUCAGAAUCCAUCCUGAAACAGGCUACAAGUGUAAUUUGCAGGACAAUUCAGCAUGAAUUCAAUGUAGACAUUUGCUGGAGUUUUGUGUUUUCUAUUCCAUCAUGCUCUUGAGCCAAAGAAUGAGAGGAAUUCCACCCCCACCCAACCCAGGGUGUUGACUUUAGACCCGGGUCCUUCUUUUCUCCAAAGGGAUGAACAGCCUUUUUGUGUUGCCCAAGGAGAGUGCAGAAGUUGCCUGGUAAGCUCACACUCUAGCUAACCCUUCACAGGCUCCCAAAGAUGAGACAUGUCUCUGCAUCACUCAGGGAUCACCUGCAGCAUUUAGUCUCGACCAGAAUUGUAUUCUCUCUCUCCCACACAGUGUUGGUUUCAAUUGACCAACAUUUAAAAAUUAGAAAAUUUUCACAAAAAAAUCUAGAUUCUGGCUUGUCUGGAACAACCUGAAAAUCUAACAAUACCAGGCCUGGAUGGCCACUUGGCAAUGGCUCCAUAGGGGCUGCCCCUUCUAGAUGGGCACACGUUCUCUCGUUUGCCAUGGUCCUCACCACUUCCUGUUUUUCUUACACCUAGCUGAGAGACAUUUGAGUCUGUGAUCCCUGAUCUGGGGCCACCAGAGAGAGAGCUUAAGAGAGGAAGGCUUGGUGCUUCAAAACUGAUGGACCCCAAAUGUUUAACAGCUGACGAAAGGGGAAAUAAAAUUUGGUAUAUCCAUACAAAGGAAUAUUAUUCAGCAAUUAAUGGAACCAACUACAUGUUACGACAUGGCUGAACCUGGAAAACAUUCUGCUAAGUGAAAGAAGCCAGUCCCAGCUCUGACUCAGCCAGGCGACCACAAGGUAAACAAUAGAUACACUUACAACCGUUCUGUUUUUCACUUUCAGUACA